rnacentral:rRNA from 1 species
CCUACGGGAGGCAGCAGUGGGGGAUAUUGCACAAUGGGGGGAACCCUGAUGCAGCGACGCCGCGUGGGUGAAGGAGCGUUUCGGCGCGUAAAGCCCUAUCGGCAGGGAAGAAGAUGACGGUACCUGACCAAGAAGCCCCGGCUAACUACGUGCCAGCAGCCGCGGUAAUACGUAGGGGGCAAGCGUUAUCCGGAUUUACUGGGCGUAAAGCGCUCGUAGGCGGUAUGUCAAGUCAAGGGUGAAAUCCCCGCGCUCAACGUGGGAACUGCCUUUGAAACUGGCAAACUGGAGUGUGUGAGAGGAUAGUGGAAUUCCAGGUGUAGGAGUGAAAUCCGUAGAUAUCUGGAGGAACAUCAGUGGCGAAGGCGACUAUCUGGCACAUAACUGACGCUGAGGAGCGAAAGCGUGGGUAGCAAACAGGAUUAGAUACCCCAGUAGUC